GAUGAUGAUGACGAUGAGGAUGACAUUCCUCCGCCGAGUAAUGAAAACGUGGAAAUACAAGAAGAUGAACCGACAUCAAAUGGCAUGUCAUUUAAGAAAAUAGUAAAUCUGACACAGACUAUCUACAAAGGUGGUAAACCUAUGAAUGUUCUCGUCAUAAAAACAAAGAAAAAAGGAUACGUUAGAUGAAAGAAUUUUACAAGAUAACGGACAAGGAAACUCAUGAUCAUUUUUGUUGCGUCAUUACAUUACCAAAAAAAAUCAUUAUAAUUUUUGUUU